GACGAACGCUGGCGGCGUGCUUAACACAUGCAAGUCGAGCGGAAAGGCCUUUCGGGGUACUCGAGCGGCGAACGGGUGAGUAACACGUGAGUAAUCUGCCCUUCACUCUGGGACAGCCACCGGAAACGGUGAUUAAUACCGGAUACGACCAAUCCCUGCAUGGGGUGUUGGUGGAAACUUUUUUGGGUGGGGGAUGUGCUCGCGGCCUAUCAGCUUGUGGGUGGGGUAAUGGCCUACCAAGGCUUCGACGGGUAGCCGGCCUGAGAGGGUGACCGGCCACACUGGGACUGAGACACGGGCCAGACUCCUACGGGAGGCAGCAGUGGGGAAUAUUGGACAAUGGGCGGAAGCCUGAUCCAGCAACGCCGCGUGAGGGAUGACGGCCUUCGGGUUGUAAACCUCUUUCAGCACCGACGAAGCGCAAGUGACGGUAGGUGCAGAAGAAGGACCGGCCAACUACGUGCCAGCAGCCGCGGUAAGAC
rnacentral:rRNA from 1 species